CUAAUAAAGCAGAACAUGCGUCUUGGCCUAAAAAAAUCUUACCUGAACACUUGGGGCAUGAGGGAGUAACUCCGUUUUGGGGGACGAUGCCCAAAGCAGAGCAAAUGUAUACCUUUUGCUUCUGUUGGGAAUACGUGAUGAAAGGUAAACGGAGUUAAGUCGUCCAAACGGACGCAAAUGCCCUCGUCUGGCGAAUGCCGAUUCAGAGGGGCCCGUAGCAGUCGAAAGGCCGCCGGCUAAGCUCGAUGAUGGCAUAGGCUUCAUAUAAACAAAAACUCCAAGAGAUUUCUUUAAGUCGUUAACAGUACAGAAGUUCGCAGUACUCGAGCGCCAGGAGUAGCAUAUAUAUGCCAUGGCAGGCUACGGGGCCCUCUGGCAACAGGGACCUGAGAUGACAAACGAGCGCGAACAUAUCCUAAACAGGCAGGCCGGUCCUCCAAGAAGGGAAUAUUCGGGCACCGCUAGAGGAAGGAAGCCCGGCCCGCCCGACGGGCCGCGACGAAAGCAAGCCGCCAACGCGCGAGAGCGGGCGAAAACACAACACAACGCAAAGGUACGGUCCCGAAGCAGCACGCCCAAUAUAGGACCGCUUGGAAGACAAGCGCUGAUAGUCAUUCGACAGAGAGCGCGCGCGGGCGUCAAAUUUAUCAGUUA
rnacentral:lncRNA from 1 species